rnacentral:rRNA from 1 species
GCGAAAACUUUACAAUGCUGGCAACAGCGAUAAGGGAACCUCGAGUGCCAGGUUACAAAUCUGGCUGUCGAGAUGCCUAAAAAGCAUUUCAUAGCAAGGGCCGGGCAAGACCGGUGCCAGCCGCCGCGGUAACACCGGCGGCUCGAGUGGUAACCGUUAUUAUUGGGUCUAAAGGGUCUGUAGCCGGCCGGAUAAGUCUCUUGAGAAAUCUGGCAGCUUAACUGUCAGGCCUUCAGGAGAUACUGUCUGGCUCGAGGCCGGGAGGUGAGAGGUACUUCAGGGGUAGGGGUGAAAUCUUGUAAUCCUUGAAGGACCACCAGUGGCGAAGGCGUCUCACCAGAACGGACCUGACGGCAAGGGACGAAAGCUAGGGGCACGAACC